rnacentral:rRNA from 1 species
GUCCACGCUGUAAACGAUGAAUGUUAGGUGUCGGGGUCUUGUACUUCGGUGUCGUAGCUAACGCGUUAAACAUUCCGCCUGGGAAGUAAGGUCGCAAGAUUAAAACUCAAAGGAAUUGACGGGGACCUGCACAAGUGGUGGAACAUGCGGUUUAAUUCGAUGUCACGCGAAAAACCUUACCAACUCUUGACAUAGUGAUCGCGGAGUUCAGAGAUGAACUUCUUCGGUUCGGCCGGAUCACAUACAGGUGUUGCAUGGCUGUCGU